rnacentral:lncRNA from 1 species
AUCAUAACAGCAUGCACAUGAGGAUUCCCGCCCCCUCCAGGAGGUAGCUUUCCACGGAUUGGGAAUGCCAGAGCAAGCCCCGCAGCUUUUCCUCACCCAAACAGGAAAGUGGAUCUCAUCUCAAAUAGUUGUGUGGACCUUUUAACACACUUCUCUACUACCUGCAUUGCCCUGCAACACGAGGACCAGCUCUCCUUCCAGGGAAGUCAUUUUCCAUUUCUCAGAUGAAACAUGGGGGAGUAGGAAAGCAGAGACAUGGAACGAUUUUUCUAUUUCACCCAAGCUAAGUUUUUUUUAAGGCACAUAAUUUGGAGAAUGAAUUUCAUUUUUGGAAUUUGGUCCUAAACCUUUCUAGUCUAGCAUUAUACAUAUCGAUUUUUCCUGGCGACAUCACACUGAAAUCUGAUUAGCACCAGAGUACAGUAUGGGGCAGCUUUUUUAAGAGCCUUGCAAACCAAAUCCUCGGCAGUGGUUCAACUGAUCUCCCCAGAGGACUUCCUCAAGGAAGCCGGUGAACUGGGACGCUCGGGUGGCAAGCAGAGAAAUUAACUUGUGACAAUCCUUGUCCAAGUCUUGAAAGUGGAGCAUCUGCUUCUUGGCCUCCAAAGUAAAACAAUCCAAUAAUUACAGUCCUUGGUGCUUUUUUUCUACCUCAGGAAACAUUUUGCAACUAACUAGCAAUUUCCAAAAAUAUGGCUCAAGCAACACAUCUCCUUAUCUCCUCGUGUAAGAGAGGGUGUGAGCUGUAACGUGCAGGGGCUUGUUAUCUUACGGGGUUCUGGCAAGGUGCUCCUGAGGACAGCUUUUAAUUGGGUAAGCGUGUGAUAUCUAGGUCUGGGGCUUUGAAGCUAACUUCCAGGAGAAGCCGACGCCCCAUUUCCAAGGCAUCUAGUUAAGACAGAUUGAAAAGGCAACCGGGAUAGGCAGGGGCAGGGACCAGUGGGGAAGGAGACAAGUAAAUUUCUUGGCAUUUUCAUACACCUCUCUGGAGACUGGGAUUUUGUGUUCGAUUUUUCAGAGAUCCCAGGUUUUUGGAAGUGGUUCAGGGAGAAAGACAAGAAUCCCAGGUGAUCAGCCCACUCAUCACUAUAAGUAGCAGGUGGCCAGACGUAAGGACUAUAAAUGCUGCCGUCACUCAUGGCGCCCAGGGAUUGCGUGAUGGUGGGACCCCACUGAAAAGAGCACCAUCCCUGGCUGACAACAGGCUCAACAGAUCCAUUUGCACUAAGAUGUGUUGGACUCACUCUCCAAGUUUACUAAGGUGCGUGAAUACUUUUCGGGGCGCGUGCAUGCGUGGAUAGCUAAGGCAGAUGAUUUCUAUUUUUAUUUUAUUUUAUUUAUUUAUUUUUAAAGAUUUUAUUUUUCCUUUUUCUCCCCAAAGCCCCCAGGUAUGCAGUUGUAUGUUUUUAGUUAUGGGUCCUUCUAGUUGUGGCAUGUGGGAUGCCGCCUCAAUAUGAUGAGCGGUGCCAUGUCUGCGCCCAGGAUUCCAACUGGCAAAACCCUGGGCUGCCCAAGCGGAGUGUGCAAACUGAACCACUGGACCACGGGGCUGGGCCUGGGAGAUGAUUUCUAAAUCUUCAACUUUCCUAUGCAUCCAUCUUGCCUACGCGUGGGCCUGUCUGCUGACCAUCACUUCUCAAUUCCAUUUCUGACAAUUCACAAAAGAAAGUUGAAUCGUUCGCCCAUGUUGAACGUCACCUCAGUGCACAGUCCUGGAGUGUGAGAACCUGCAGAGAGCAUUGAAACGAGGAAGGGACAAAUGGAGAAUGUGGGGCUCCUGAGAGAGUGUGUUUUCUGAGAGCAAGCAAAGGGAGGGUUGGAAAUAAAUACUGAAGGCUCAUAGCA